GCGCCUGUAGCUCAGUUGGAUAGAGCACCAGUCUUCGGAACUGGGUGUCGGGGGUUCGAAUCCUCCCAGGCGCG
rnacentral:tRNA from 1 species